rnacentral:rRNA from 1 species
CACGUAGGCACCAAGCGUUGUCCGGAUUUAUUGGGCGUAAAGAGCUCGUAGGCGGUUCAGUAAGUCAGGUGUGAAAUCUUUGGGCUUAACCCAAAGCGUGCACUUGAUACUGCUGUGACUUGAGUUCGGUAGGGGAGUGGGGAAUUCCUAAUGUAGCGGUGAAAUUCGUAGAUAUUGGGAAGAACACCGGUGGCGAAGGCGGCUCUCUGGACCGAGACUGACGCUGAGGCGCGAAAGCGUGGGGAGCAAACAGG